AAAGUUAAGUCUACAUAAGCUUGGCAAAAUUUGUUAUAAGUUUCAUUAAAUUUAAAGCAUUUUGAAGUUUUUCAUAAUUUUGCUGUUUCCAUGGUAACGGCGGCCAUUUUGAAUAUUCCAAAGUCAAACCCCCGCUGCAAUUUUUUCCCUCCAUAAUCAUAUAUACCAUCAUAUACCAUUUAAUGUCUCUAGAAUAAAUUUAACAUUGAUGUUCUGGAAUGUUCUGUGAAAAUUCAAAGUUUUGACCUUUUUGCAUUGUUUCCAUGGUAACAACAGAUAUUUUGGAAAUUCCAACGCCAAAUUCCACAUCUUCCAAUGUUGCUCAUCGUUACUGUGAAGUUUCAUUAAGUUUGGAACAUUUUGAGAUUUUUGAAAUUUUUGGAGUAGUUUCCAUGGCAACAUAGUAGUUCCAAUGAGUGCCAAAAAUCAUCCAACACCUGUAUAUAGUGGGCACCUACAUUGUAUCAAAAUAUAAUGAUUCUGAGUUCAAGCAUAUCCAAACAGUUCACCAAAACAAAAAACUGGAUUUUUUCACAUUUGUUUCGUUUCCAUGGCAACGGCAGCCAUCUUGAUGGUGCCAUACCCCACUGCACUAUAGAAUGUGGUGGUCUACAUUAUGGUAUAGUUCCAUCAAUAUUGUUCAAGCCAAUUCCGAGAAAUAGCAUGGACAAAAAAGUGUGGAAGAAUAAAUAUAAUAAGAAAAAAAAGAAACGAACAAUAACAAUAUGUCACCCCAACUCCGUUGAGGGUGCCAUAACUAGAAUUGCCAUUGCAAGCAAUAGCGGAUGUCACCCUUCCCCUAUUGCCACUAAGCGGCAGCCAUUUCAAAAUGGUUUAA
rnacentral:lncRNA from 1 species